UACGAAGGGGGCUAGCGUUGCUCGGAAUCACUGGGCGUAAAGCGCACGUAGGCGGAUUGCUAAGUCAGGGGUGAAAUCCUGGAGCUCAACUCCAGAACUGCCUUUGAUACUGGCGGUCUCGAGUCCGGGAGAGGUGAGUGGAACUGCGAGUGUAGAGGUGAAAUUCGUAGAUAUUCGCAAGAACACCAGUGGCGAAGGCGGCUCACUGGCCCGGUACUGACGCUGAGGUGGCG
rnacentral:rRNA from 1 species